AAGAUAUCUCCUUGGAUUCUGAAACAGCCCUUUGAUGUAUUUUACGAGUCAGCUUACUUCAACAUCCAAACCGGAUGUCACCACGAUAUCCAAGCAUUCCUUUGAUUAACUCUGCUAAUUGUUGCAACGAGUUCGAGCAGAACCAGACUUCAUCCAGCCAAGGACCUUUCUACCUACUUGCUGUGGUCGGCUUUCCCAUCACCCUGAGUACUUCCGAAACAAUCCCUUGAUAUAUACUUAUGGUGUGUCAGCUUAUUUGAACUUGCAA
rnacentral:lncRNA from 1 species